rnacentral:rRNA from 1 species
ACAGAGGGUGCAAACGUUGCUCGGAAUUACUGGGCGUAAAGCGCGUGUAGGCGGAUUCGAAAGUCGGAAGUGAAAUCCCCGGGCUCAACCUGGGAACUGCUCUCGAAACUUCGUAUCUAGAGUAAUGGAGAGGAAAGCGGAAUUCCCGGUGUAGAGGUGAAAUUCGUAGAUAUCGGGAGGAACACCAGUGGCGAAGGCGGCUUUCUGGACAUUUACUGACGCUGAGACGCGAAAGCAUGGGGAGCAAACAGG